rnacentral:rRNA from 1 species
GGUUAGAGGUGUAAGUAUGGUAACAUAUUUAGCUGACUAAUACUAAUAGGUCGAGGGCUUGACCAAA